UUCAAACAAUGGUACACUCAUCAAUUUAGCUAGUCCCCGUAAACACUUUGAGAUGAUUAAUAGCAUUAAUCAAAUGGACCAAAAUGUGACUGUUCAAUAAUUUGUUAAGAGCAGCUCAAGGUGAAGCCAGUGUGACACUUCAUGACCUUGGAGUUAACAAUUUCCCGUUCCUCUGAGAGACUAGCUUCGACUGAUCCUGAAGCAACAGAUGUUUGUUUUA